rnacentral:rRNA from 1 species
AAUUUUGGACAAUGGGCGAAAGCCUGAUCCAGCAAUGCCGCGUGAGCGAAGAAGGUCUUCGGAUCGUAAAGCUCUGUUGUUAGGGAAGAACAAGUAUCGUUCGAAUAGGGCGGUCCCUUGACGGUACCUAACCGGAAAGCCCCGGCUAACUACGUGCCAGCAGCCGCGGUAAUACGUAGGUGGCAAGCGUUAUCCGGAAUUAUUGGGCGUAAAGCGCGCGCAGGCGGUCCUUUAAGUCUGAUGUGAAAGCCCACGGCUCAACCGUGGAGGGUCAUUGGAAACUGGGGGACUUGAGUGCAGAAGAGGAGAGCGGAAUUCCACGUGUAGCGGUGAAAUGCGUAGAGAUGUGGAGGAACACCAGUGGCGAAGGCGGCUCUCUGGUCUGUAACUGACGCUGAGGCGCGAAAGCGUGGGGAGCGAACAG